UUCUGCUAACUUGAUUGGAUCAUUUGGGAACUAUAUUUUCAUAUUGUAAACUGUUUGUAUCCCAUCUUAAGAUUAAGGUGAAAACAACGUGUGGGUUCUAGUUGUUUGAAUCUUAAAUCUUAAUAAAUUACUAGACAAGUAUUUAACUUUGCUUUUCACUACCUGGCUAUCUGGCAGUUGCUAUAUUGUUUGAAAGUAAAGUUUUUUACUUUUUUUUUUUAUAAUCAUUUCUUUAUGAAAGCAACAUUUUUUUUUUCAACGAGGAUGCGUAUUAAAUGAAGCUAGGAAUUUAGAAAUUAAUGUUUAAGAAUAUUUAAAUUCAUUCACAAAUUCUUUAUGUUAAGGAAGUAAAUUUAAAUUCAUUUCACAGAUCCUAUGUAAAAUGCUCUCGUACCAAAUACAAAUACUCAAAUUUCGUUUGUUUCGAAUGGAUUAAGUUGGCGAAAAAGGAACUUCAUUUUGGAUUACACAUAAUAUCAGUAGUGCAUUAGGUCCAAUGCAGACACAUUAAUAACAUGCGAAAAGUAAAAAGAAAAUGUACAUCACUCAUUAUGUCAAAACAAAAACAUACCACAAAAGAUAGAGAAGUACUUACCAAAUCCUUCGUCCGCAAAGCUCCACACAAGACGCUGAGCUAUGGCUGAUGGGGGACUGGGGUUGCGAUCAGCUGACUGGACUCUAGGAUGGACCUUCCUGGAGAUUGGUCUGUGAGAGUGGGAUUCGGUCCAAGAUUUCUCGUAAUAUGAUUUCUUCUUGAUUGAAGGGUUUCGAUUGCGUACGAUUGCAUUUCUAGGCUCGCGUUAUACUGAAGACACGCGUACUAAGUGUGUGUGAUGACUUAAUGCCCUCGAGUUGUUGCUGCGGCUUGGCGAAGCCAGAAGGAAACUCUGGGUGGAGGCCCGGCGAGCGAAUACUGACGGUCCGCUACACAAAAAGGUCAUGUCAGUCGGGGUAAAAUCAACAGGUUUUCCGUCACGUUAAUUGAUUGAACAGAGCUUGAAAGUAAUUAUGAGGAUUGAAUUUCUCUGUAUUUGUGCGGGAGAGAGUCUUUAUUACUAGAACUCGUCUUAGUAAUGCUUGUGCUGUAGCUCCCACAUUCGAUAGUUUUUCCCUCUGGAGGUGAUAUUGUUCUUUAUGAUAGCUUACUGUAUUGUAUUCACUGAAUUUACUAUUUCAGGCGAUAUAUUAUGCACAUUGCAAAAUAGCAAGGUCAUGGCUGGGUUUGGAGAGCUGCCACGCCACGUCCCUUUCGGUGCAUGCAUUGGCUCAACUUCCGCACAACUUUUUUAUCAAACUACUUGAGUAUAUAGUGUAAAGGACAGAGCGCGGCGGCCAUUUACACAUUUUUGCUACGUUUUGAAGUUGUGUACAAAUGUUAUACGCUCCUACGGAAUCUGAUGGAAAGCUACACUGAUAUGUUGGGAGUUUCUCCAUUUAUUUCAUGUGUAAAAUAGAUCUUGCAGUUAUUAAACGUGUCCGAGGAGAUCGUGGAUGAAACCAGGUACACAAGGGUUAGUGGCUUGCAUCCAGUUCCAAAUCUUCGCGUGGGUCGUCGUAUAGAGCUGUAAGUCAAGAAACUCGCAAACAAUAGGGUUGAUCGGUCGAUUAAGAUUUCAGCAUGGGAGAUCGUGUUGGAUAACAUGCUGGAGAUGUCGCCAAUGAAUCUCUAUCGCUAAGUCGUGGGACAAGUGUGAGGAACAACAUCGGAGUCACGAGCGGCUUCGCCUCAAUUCGGAAAUCCAAACACUAAGCCUCACAGAAGGAAAAUAGUGUGGAAGUGUGCUGCUGUAUAAGAUUGUCCAAGGUGUUGCAACAGCGGAGAGGGUGAGUUCUUGAUACUCACCUCGGCCAUGAUCAUCCGUUGAUGGGGGGAAGAGCAACGACGCUUAGAGUUGGGAUUGCCCAUGAAGAGUAGAGAGGCUUAGGGGUCAUAGGACGGUAGACAAGACGUGAAAGAAAACGUGGGAGGCGACGGUAGCCGUCGGUGCUGGUAUCCACGGCCCCUGUUCCGCAGACGGUUGUAGGGAGAACUUACGGUUUUCCUGGGGUGUGAGUAGUAUCCAGUCUAGAUGAUACUAUUGCGAAUCUAUGAGAACUUGUCAUGAAGGCCGGAAGAGGGGAAGGAGGGUUCAUCCAUGUGAACGGCACACACUGCAACAUGGGUGGAAGGUGGAUCGGCUCUCCCAAAUACAGAGAAGGAGCGGGCUGACGAGUGGGGAAUGAGGAAGAGCAAUCGUUGCGUCGGAGAACAUGCGUCAGUCUUUUGAGCAUGCGGAAUGUUUGGACUAGUUUUUGCUUCUGUAAGAGAUCGAAGAAGUGGUUUAAAAGCGGCUGGUAACAUCCCUGGGACACAGACUGGCUCAACGAGAUUAGAGAACAAUGGCGAGACGAGAUAAUGGAGGCGGUUCUGGAUGUCAGGAAAAUGCCUUUACGACCUGGAGGUUAUGGAGUUUUCUUGAUUGGAGUCCCGGAGACGUCACGUACAGGAGGAAGGAUCAUGGUGGUUGACGGCCUGGGUACAACGUGAUGAAGUAAAGGAAGGUGGGGGAAUCUUCAAUUUAUCUUUGUUAGGCAUGAAUUCAAUGUGCUCUUGACACCAAAGCCUAACGUCGGAGAGAAAAGAUUCAAGAGGGCAUAAAGGAUAGGUCGGAGGAUAAGGGGUAGCCAUGGCAGCGCUUGAAGAAGAGCUAUGUCCAGAAGCAGCCAACUAGUAUAAGAGUGAGUCAGGCUGGAUGUCUUGAUUGUGUCGCUACUGUGCCGCGAUACCAGCCAAUGUUCCAGAGCGCACUCAUAAUAGAUACCGGCAAGUGUGACCCAGAGAGAUAACAACCAUUGUGCAGAGUCAGCGUGGCAUCUAAUGGCACAGUCUAAGUGGUAAGAGCCACCACUGGUCGGAUAUCUGAUGCACUCAUCCACUCUGAAAGCAUAUUAGCCAGAGAGAUGCCAAUGCCAGCGAUUCUCUCGGAGAGGAUAGAGAUCUAGCGCGCUGCGGAAAGUGCUGGUGGGACUAACAAACGAUUAGGCGAAAUGAAAAGAGGGACGUACAGGCCUACCAUAAAAACAUGGAUGCGCCGUAAACAACAUGCAGGAGAGAAAAGGAUUGGUACCUCUAGAGGAACAGGGUAAUGGGCACCGGGAGGUCUCCUGGAGAGGCACGGUAACCGGUCAGCGGCCUAGGUGAAAUGAUCUGCUACCGAGCACAGAACUGGAGGCACUCGAAAUGGAUUGGGUCCUGCACAUCUACCCAUUGGGCUAAUGCUGCUUGUAUAAGUAUGCGGGCUCCGCGCAGCGGUGCGGCGUGGUAGAGGUGGAGUGGGGAAAGGUUCCAAUGGGAAUCGGGGUUAACUGGGCAGUCGCAUGCCCCCUCGGCUACUGCGUGACGCAUGUACACCGCGAUGGCUCGAUGUGGUAGCGAAAGGAUCAGUGAUCCAAGGCAGAACCCAUCAGUUCAACUAAGUGAGUACAGAGAAUAGACGGGGACAAAUCGCGAUGGGGUGUUAGUUAAGUUAUCAAAUAACGAAGAAAUCUGAUAGCGAUGAGUCCAAUUUUCGCCGAAUGAAGUCUUGACACAAUCUGUGCAUGAUAGGAUUUUUCCACGUACUACUGUCUAUUGUCGUUCUGAAUGUUCAGGAAAGAGCUGUAUAGAAAUUCAACCUAUAGCGGCGUUGCAGCUGUUGAAAACUUCAGAGUUCGGGGAGAAUUAACUAUUGUGACUCUCUUUUAAAGUAGGGCCGAAAGGCGGUAUUUGUUACGAUAAACGUCACCAUAAUUCCACGAAGGACUGGGCACAGCAUGUCAUAUGGUAGUGACAAGUGUGAAUGAUUAACCAGAGAUUCCACUCAGGCUAGUCUAUUCCAUGUGUUAGGGUCCUAUCGGAGCAACUUCAGAUGUCAGAGGAGGCCGGACAAGCCUAGACGUAGGAGAAAGCAUAGGGUGGCGUGAGCUAGGAAUAAAGAUAGACGGCAGCGGAGUGGAGAAAAAAUGAGAAAAACUCCUGUUGAUGUGUAUCUUGACUCUAGGUUCCACGUAUCUCUCUGGUGUAAAAUUGACACUCUGGAGGUCUUUGUCAUGUGGACAAAUUGUGGGGAGGCGCUUGACAGAGUCAGAGCGAAAGAUGAAAUACCACUACUUUAACGUUAAGUGGUUUACAUUAUCACAUUGGGUGACCGUGAAACUCCGGUAUCAGACCGCAGGGCGAUGGAUUUACGAGCACACUAAGUUCGCUUAUCUGGAGAGAAAGGAAUGUGCCCUCUGCUCCCGCAGGAGGGACACGAUCCACGCAGCGGAGGGAAGGACACAUUAUGGCUUGGGUUUGUUGGUAAGAGAAGUCGUAGGGAUAAAAAGACGACAUAUUAAUUACGACGCGCGAGUAGCACAAAACUCUCGAUUCGCACCAACAAGUAGUAGAGAGCCGCCAGGUGUUGCCUGGAAUGCCAUUAGACUGCAAGUGAGCUCAAACGAGAACUAGAAAUCUCGUGUGGAACAAAAGGGUAAUGGCUCCGGCAGUGCUAUGUGAAUUCUGAAGUGACUUUCAUUCCAUUGUACUGAGCAUUACGAACACAGUCUCUGAGACAAGGCCGUGGCAUAAAAUAGCUUUUCAGUUUCUGCGAUCCUUUAUGAUCCUUUUCCAUCGAGGCUGGAGUAUUGAGCUUUGAGUCUCCAAACGUCCUUCGAUCCGAGUUUUAAUUUGAUCCAGCUUAGGAGGUGGGAGCGAAAAAGUUACACCGGCUCUCGACUAAUGACCAUCAAUUGAGAGAUCAGGAAUAUUCGAGACAUAUUCUUGGCCUAUGUGCGCAGCCAGCGUUCAUAUGCGGGACCGCUCGCUCUUAUUUGAUACCUUCCGAUAUGUCGGGGCUGCUUGCCACAUAAUUGAUGCUGAGUGACCAUGCCAGAAAUUUCAAGACACCAAAGUAUGGAUAAUCUAGAUAGGAUUUUGUUUAGUCAAUCUUGGGGAAAGGGAGGCAAUUAAUGCGUAUGCUCUUGGGAUAAGAAUUACGUGGUAACUAAUUAAACACCACUCAAUUAUGGAAACGUGUAUGUCGUUUCGCGAGCAUAUUUGGAAACGACGUCAUUGUAAGUAUACACUAUGUUGUUAGUUUUAAAUCGCUAACAUGAAGAGCAGAAAAGAGUAUUCCCUGUUCCUCGCUCAUAUUAUAGUAAUCAAUUCAAUCCACUAGUACGUUUGAGUAUGUGGUAAGGCCAUCGAGAUAAUAUAGAAGUUCGCGACACUAUGUUUGUUAACGCGGGCUUGCUAUAUUCAAGUUGUAUAAAGUUUACCAACGAUGAGAAGCGUCGAAGCUACCUGCACAACUUCGCUGUCCAAGAACUUUCAAAGGCCCCGCAAGACACAAAUAGAACUUUGAAUGGGACGGCAUCUCAUAGUCAGCUCACAUAACCAAGCUUCCUCGGCGAGCAAGAUAUGCUGCACGUCAUGCGUGCGAGCACAAAAGAGUCCCUUUGGAAUGGUUUUUGCCACACAGACAUUAGAGAUCAGGAAUACCUCGUCCUUUUAAAUACAUAUGUAAACGCAUCAUCCAACACCGGAGCCCGUAGAAUGUCAGAUCCACAAUACGGAUCGGGCCGGUGCUAACCGGCUUCCUCAAGACACACUAAAGGUCACCCCUAGCCCCACUAAAUUAUACAAUAUACAUGUACGGAGCCCGGCCUAAACAUGACAUGUUCGAUAUGCGACCUUGAGUGUUCGACCCCUCGCGCUCCAAUAAUAUGAUACAAGGUUGCUCAUUCUCACUGCCUAUUAUAGUAUAACCAAAGACCUUCAAACCAUGACCUUCAUCAAGCCUGAUAGGGGCGGACGAAGCCGCCUGGAUGUGCAUCAUAACACUGCUCAUAAUGAAGUACAAGUGGGAGAGUUCACACCCUAGGCAAACGGGUAAAGAGAAAGGUAGAAAAGACCGGUCUAGCAAGAUUCACGGGGCUAGACAUAAUCCUUGAAUCCCACAGACCAAUGAAUUAUAUGAAUUUAAGCGACGGAGAACGGUCGCCCAGCGCGAUAGAAUCAUCUGAGUAGGUAGCUGGAAGAAGUGGACCUUUUGACUUAGUAGCAAAACAUGCAACUUGGAGAGGAAAAUCAUGGGUGUUUGGAAAAUGGACAUCACAAAAUCAAAUCACAUUCCACGGUGGAGGAUAAUUAGCAGCCCCUGCGAAACACUAGUUUACGAUUCCCGUUCCCUCGGAUUCGCGUACACCUUUCCAUCCCCGGCCGGUCCUAUGCUAUCUUCAAUUCAAGUGUUAAAGCCAUUUUGCAUAUGUUGCUGAGAGAGAUGCAGAAGGCGGCUUAACAAGAGUGGUUCUAUAGCAAUAGUAUAUGGAGGAAACAAAAAUUCAAGGCGACAUUUUUGGCCAUGUUCCAGAUAAUUGUGGCCUAAAUAAACAUGUCAGUUCUGUUGGAGAUGAUAUGAGAGUAUGUAUGCACAACGGGUUUAAUUUAGGAGAGGGAUAAUUUGGCGGUCUAUCUGUAUACGACGGCCAGCGUAACUAACGAAUGGCAUAUCAGGUUCCGCAAGGGAACACUGAGUUUAGACGCCUCGAGCGUUAUGCUCAUUUGGACACAGAUUACGAUACGCACAAAACGAGGUGGAGCCUGUUGCGCAUUCGUUAGCUAAAGGGGUCAACGCAUUAAAUGUUGCCCCAAGGCUAGUACUAGACAGACACGACUAGUGGGUGACUUCAAGGUUUGUGAGAAGUCGAGAUAAUAGUCAUAAUGUCCAGGAUUUUUAUGCUCUAACGAAAAUGAUGGGGGUUGAAUGAGAGGUUCAGUGUCUUCUAAUCACAGCCAAAAAUCAAAUCCGCUCCAUUCUAUUUGCCUCUAUAGCGACACGCAUCAUGGUAAGCCAUGACGAGAGGGAACUAGGCUUAGGUACCGAUGCGCGCAGGGUAUGCGAUUUAAGUGUGAAUUUUGAACUACAGAUCGGAUGACGAACCAUGUUGCCCCCCAAAAUGACAGCAAGCAUAGCUGAGUUCAUGUCACUGUAUGCUCCAGGGUGGACAUCCUAAGACAUUUAUCGAAUUUACACGGGGGUAGUUUUCGAGUUUUAAUCCGGAGUAUGUCUAAGCAUAGGUUGGACUGGACAAAAAAUUGUUGCCGAAGGUGGAAUUUAUAAAAAUCACUAUUUGUAAGUUUUCUUUGUAUUUAAGUGUCAAAAAAUGAUUGCUUAAAAUAAAAGUGUGAAUCUCCCAUUUACCUUAAUAUAAUAGGAACGUCAACCCUAAGCACUACUUGCAUAAAAAUCAUCUAUAAUCUAUACGAUGUGGGUUGUAUGGUUACGUCAAAUAUAAUAUGAAUCCAUGUCACAAAAAGAUGACGAAAUCCACCGUAUUACUAAGAUUAUUACAUUCAGUACAGUCCACAUAGUUACUAAGGGGAUUAACAUUGAAUUUCUAAAUAUACAGUAGGAGUAAUGGGUGUGAGAAAAAAAAUCAGAAAUUUGAGAAGAAAAUGAGAGAAAAAAAAAAGUCAUAGAAUCGGAUCUAAGAUAAAUAUAGGGAGGAAGGAGAGGUCACUCGGUCAGUAACAUUGGUAGUUAUCUGAGACGAGGAUUAUAUCUUUUGUCUGUUUAGACAACUCAAACACAACAUCGGUCAUUGAGUUGUUUAUUCCGCUAAGGCUUAAUGUCGAUUCUCCGCUCUUUCACAAGUCUAAAUAAAUUAUUCGUAAUAACGUAUCUACUUUAUGAGUUAUAAUGUAAUUUUUUAUACAUAUUUGGCAUACACUAUAUUGACUAUUGCUCAUCUGUUUUAUCUCUCUUUUACCAUAACAACAAACACAGAGUCCAUAAAAUGUGUCUCUUGCAAAAUAUAUUUUGCUGUCGUAUGCAAAAAGUACAAUUAAAUGAUUCGACCAUUCAUUAUUUAAACAUUUGGCAAUCCACAAUUUUAACAACCUAAUUGGCAAAUGUAAAGGAUAUUGACCAAUAUAAUAUAUGGUCAGAAAGAUCUCAAAAUAAAAUAAAGAAACUUUCGGACAAUAAAGAGUGUAGAACGGAGCACCCAAAAAAUGGUAACACGCUACUGGAUCCUCACCAGUCGUAACUUAAAUCACGUUCAGAGUGCCUAAAUUUUGAUUCCAUAACAAUUGAGGCCUAUGUCACCCCAGGACUAAGCGCUAUAAAUGUUCGAGCAAACAAAUUUAAGGUAAAAACUACCUAUAUUUUAUUUUUGUGAAAGUUUGUAAUCUUGACUCCACUUCAUGAAAAUGAGACAAAUGCAUUUGUUUCCAUUUUAUUGUUUUAGUUUCUAUUUUGUUUUCAGCUAAAUUGUCACCAAUAUUUUAGGCCAAGUCAUAGAACAUUACGGAACACAUAUGAAUGGUACACCACAGCAAUCUGAAAUUGUGAGACCCUCAUAUGCCACUAGAGGCAAACAAAGCAACUGUAAAACCGAUAGCACAUUAUGUGUGCAUGCCGGACUCGCGAAAGCUAUGUCGACCACACAAUCAUUUAGUUAAAAAGUAGAUUAAGACUGCGACCCAUAGCCAAGAUUCACGAGUAAUCCAAAAUGAUACACAAAGUAUUGGAUGUUGGUGCUCCAACUACCGAGAGCAUAAAGUAGUCGACAACAUAUAUUCUCUCUUUCUCGUCGAAAUGCAUUCUCCUGGUUGAGAACAUCGCGAAAAUGACCGACAUGUAAGACUCGCAAAAUAAUCAAGAAAUAACCAGUCGGACGCAAACACGUGUUUAAACCUCGUGUCCAAACUCUGUCCGAGUUUUUUACACAACGCAUUUAAUUGGCAUGGAUUUUUUCGACUUACAUCCAACGAAUUAUAAAGCUAACACAAUUUAAAGGGAUAAUUUUAGGAUUCAAUGCCCCAAACCUUGUACCAUUCAGCCCUAAAGUACACUUCGAAGAAAUGAGAUAGAACCGAAUAUAGCAAAUGAAAUUCAGCCAAAAACUACCUAUAAAUAUGGCAAUGCCAAUAGAGUAAAAGAAUGCUAUCUGAUAUGUUGAAAUCGGAAAAAAUAGUGUUGAGUGACCAAGUGGCAUAGAGUCACAAAAGCUAAACUCUCCGCAAUAUAGAGUGCUACGACAAUGGCUUAAUGAUCUAAUAAAUAUGUGGGAAUCAUUCCUAAUGGCAUGUUCGACCAAAUGACAAUCCAUUAAAGUGUAGAGAAGGGUACCAUCACGACAAGCAAAAAUGAUACCUGACACACCUAUUUAAAUGGCGUUAUUCCCAUUUUGAAUCAUUAGUUCCCAAAUUCAACAUCAGACAAAAAGACAACUUGCAGCUAACGAAACAUCACGAAUCACCACAGAAAAGGCAUAAAUUUUGAAGUUCGCGAAUUAAACGACGAGUGGACUGCAACAAUGUACACACUCGUACCACACAUCACACACACUUCAUUUGCGCGCGACAAGUACCAAAAGCGACACAUAAUAUAACAAUGUCCAUAUUCAGUGGUGAGGUGGCUCAAUCAGCCAAUGCAGCGAGAGAUCACAAUAGAGUCAGGAAAACAUGUCGACCAAUUGGAUGGUGAAUGAACCCAUAUGACCAAUUGCACUAUCAUGGGCGUGCCGAGCUAUAUAACUUGACGUAUACACCACUUAUAGUUUGAUUAUAUGACUCCACACUGUCGAUAUAAAUACUGCUGGAAACCGAGGAUGUCAAAGGGAUAUCCAUAGGACCGUUGAUACCGUCUGGAAGUCCUUCACAUGUCAACAAAAAGGGCCAAAGGUUCAAAGUCAAAUAGAUCGACUGUCGGAUUAAAAAAUAGCGUAACAGUGCCGAACAAGAAAAUGAUAAAAGAACCUCCAAAAAUGUCGUAGACCAAAGCCACAAAAUCCCUGAACUUUUGAACAAAGAGUGCAUAUCCUGGCAUGACAGAGUGGCGAUCUCACGAAUGGGACGGUACUCACCGGCGUGAAAAACUGUCUAGACCCGCUAUAGUCCGACGCGAUAUUAGCACCUCAAUUUUUUAAGGGUGAGACGUAUGUCGCUGCGAAAUGUUAAGUCUCCCGGAAAAAAUUAACGUGGAACACUAUAGUGCAAAAUUAAAAUGUCUAAAUGAUUUUAUUCCGUAUAGACAUCAUGAGACGUCACAUUAAAUGAUCUGACUUAAAAGGAGAUUGGCCACUAAGUUCAAAUAUCGUCACCUAUUGAUUAUUAUCGAACAAAUUCAAAGCUAUGAUAUCAAUUUCAUCAACUUAAGUCACUUGGGUCACAUUUAGGAGUGUAAUACCUGUUAAUUUUCUUGCCUAUAAGCCCGUAAUACAUUGGCGAGUAUAGGCCCAAUGGCGAAAUCCAUGCUACAAACUACCGUCCAAAUAAUUUUAGUAUCCGAGCAAGCUAAAUUAUCAUCCUAUUUCUUUGAAAAACUACCAAUUUAGCGCACUGCUCCAAACCUAAACUUUUCAAAGACACUAGCUAUAUUUCUUAGUGACACAACUAUAUACAUAAAGACUCGUCAAACCAAUGCUUCGAGACCGUAUAGAUGCAAGUAACGUUAUUGGUCAAAUUCCGAAACAAUAGACAUGAAUCUCAAAUGGAAUCAGCUAUCCUCGGAAAAUGUCAGAAUCCUAAUUUAGGGGAUGUAAUGGGCAGAUUUUUAAUAAUUCAAAAUACUGGUUUGACAUUUUGGAAUAAAAUAUUUGAGCAAGCAAACCUACCAAUAUGUCACUAAUAGGAUUCAAUAGAUACCAUCGGGGACUAAAAUAUGGUGACAGUUCCCAACUCAUUGGCUUAUAUUGAAAUACACCUAAAUAGACAUGGCUAAUUCAUGAACGCAAUAUUUAACUGUUAUUUGCUCCACAACUCCCUCGUAGAUAUCUGAGGAUAAAUACGACAACCGUUUAUCCCUUUAUUAACGAUUAAUCUAACUAUUUAUAUUAUAACAUGUAAAAUAUUAACAUCGCGUAGAGCCAAUGAUCACUCCACGAGGUUUGAAAAAACAAUCACUCUUCGCUCUGGAAAGCCUCCUCUAGCAAAAGUGGGGGCCGCAACAAUGGAUCAUGGGGAUUUGCCUGUGCGAAAAUGGGAAUGUUGGUGUGACAUUUUUCAAGCUAAAAAUUACAGAACAUGUGGAACGUGCACAAAUUGGUCCCAUAAUUUGAAGAGGCACGCCAAUCUCAGACAGCAGGUCUCCAGCUAUAGACCUGUCUUUGAGCGUGAAAAAAGCUGAUCACAACGAUAGUCCCAAAAAAUUAAUUUGGCACCCUCUUCUAUUGCUUUUCGACUCCCACCACUGGUCAAUCAGACCUAAUCUUAAGAACACAAAAUGGUUGUGGUCCAGAGUACUUGGGUAUAACAAUAUAUUAACAUGAAACGUACGCAAAUGGUCGACCCGAACUAACGCUUUUAAGAUUUCAGCACUCAAGGCUUAUGGGGAGAGAACAAAUGCAAAGAGUAUAGGCAAGACUCAGAAGACAUUGUGCUAUAGCACACUCAGCGGAAUAUUCAUGCAACAUAUGAGGUAGAUGUCAACAGUGUCGUGAAACCGCUCGCAUAAAUUAGAUAAUGUAGGUCAAAAUGACACAAAUAGAAAAAACACCUAGAAAGAGAUCAAUAUCAAUGACCUCGACAAAGAAAUUCAUUGUGAUAACUGAUUUUUGUUUAACUCGGCCCUUUCCAAUUGCGGCAAAUUGACUUACCAUAAUUGAUGAUGACAAAUGCCCAUAAGGACAUGUCAUUAAAUAUAUGUUAAACUGGCGUCCUGCCUCAAUAAAAUAUGCUUCGACCGAGAGGUGAGCAUCGCCCAAAAUCUUAAAUUCACGUAAAGAAACAUAUGUCACCAAAUGACGCGCGUAUUAAACUCGAUCGCGCGAACCAUGAAAUGUCCAUACAUAAACCAAAACUCAAAUUCGAGGCACGCCAUAUUUUAUUAUAAGGAACAUGUCAAGAAACUGAGAAAAAUUGGUCUGAAACCAAAUAAGAUUAUUAUUUAAAAACAUGUCGGCUUUGUAAUAUGUCCAGCAAAUAUUGGGACCAUGUGAUCCAAGGUUACCCGCUCGAAAAGUAUCCGUUCGGACAAAAAAAUAGAGACUAAAGUGUGGGGCCAAUGACGCAAAUGCAAAUUGCACAACAAGACAAGGAAACAUUCAGCACCAAAAUGAUUGGUAUAGACCAGUCCUUUUUCCACGAUUCUCUAAAUGUUUGGUAUGAGUUCUUUUUGUGCCUAUUAAAUGUUUAAUGUAAUGCAUAGUAGGCAUAUCUCGACAGGUGUAUGCGCAUAUUGAAAAACAUGACCACCAUAGCUACAGCCAAAGAUGUCUCUCUCACUCCAAUAUCAUCUCAUCAGGAUUCCAAAAUUGUUCCAAGCUAUUGUUCGAGGCAUCCUGGUCUCGACAUAAGUGAAGCCAUAGCUAAACAAGAACCCCACCCGCGAAAAAAUGUCGAUCACAAUAAACUGAUUUUUUUUUUUGCGCGCUUAUGCUCUAGUUCCUAUCUAAAAAACUUGUAUUUGAGACCAUUAGGAUGCACAACUGACAUGACCCAAUGAACAUGUCAAAAGAAUCCGCAAAAAUGUCGAACCCACCUAAGUGUGAGGGUCUCAAAAUGACUUUCAAUAGAAUCACACAACUAGGGCUGGUCUGCAAAAUGUCGACCAAUUGGUUGAUAAUGAGCAAUUUACUAUCUUUAUCAGCUAGUGAAAUUAGAGCGCACGGUAAUUAUUUCAUCCAAAAUUAAGGCACAUCACAAUAAAUUUAGUAAAACAAUGAUUCAAUUGAUCAAGACAACACUACUCUGAAGAGGGAUGUCCAGGCAUAAUCACAUCUCUUAGCUAAUGACACACUCAGGCCGAGCAUCUAUCUUAUUGAUGUGUAGUUCAUCGGUCAAUGUGUUGUACCUGUAUGCUAUACAUAUUCUUCGAUUUAUUGUCCAAAAACUUAGUGCCAUGCCAUGGUCCCACAGCACCAUGUAGUUUGGUUACCUACAGUUCGAGAAUGGUUCGCCAUCAUCAGAGAGAUACCAUAUACACCUAAAUUUUAUAUGAUGAGUUGAGACGCUUCGUAACAUUGAAUUACAUGAAGUCAGAAUUGUGUCAUUUUUGGGAUGAGGAAGGUUCUUAAUGUGGCGUAUGUCGUGAUCGUACGCGCAUAGUACCAACGAGUUACUGGACCAUUUUGCGGAGCACGUCUUGGAGACUUGUCAGUUUAGAGUGAGGACGCACUAGUUCAAUUGCAUGCCAUAUUCAUUGGUCGACAUUCCUUCCAGAGUAACUGUGAUUGUACAUUGCGCCAACGAGUGAAAAAAAUCAGACACCUGGAGUGGGUUUAACGCACAUAUUUGCCUUGAGCACAGUAGGACGCUAUGGCCAGUGUAGUCAUGAGUUGCGAUGGACAGCCUCUAGCAAGCGGUACCAGCAACCAUUGGUCUGUUGCGUAAUGUUCAUUCUGGACGAGGUUCUAUGAUAGAGGAGAAUGUGAAUCAGAGUAUAUAGCUCAUGUGUACCGACAUUAAUGUAGAAAAUCACGGAAUAGACAUAGCAUGGGAGUUGCAUGAUAUCAUGAGUCGCUACUCUCAUACGGUACAAAGGACUUAACCGAUGAUGUCGCACGAAAUGAUCAAUUAUGUAAAAAGAGAAGUCAUGGGCGACAUGUGGACACAGCUAUGUGAGCUAAAUGGUCAUGUUGGAUUACUAGACAGAUGGAAUCACACAGUUAAGGUACACCAGCAUCGAAAAACUGUCACAUGUACUCCUCCUUUGAAAUUGAUACUCUUGCACAUACUUUUGCCUCACCUUGGUCGUAUCAUAUUUUUGUCACUGUAUUGUCCUUUGACUACUUGGCUAUAAAUGAGCUAAAUGAUCAUCUCUUGUAUAUCUGACUUAAAUAGACCAUAGCGAUCGAGAAUUCAGAUUUGCAGAUCACCAUUUCUUAAGAAUCGGGAGGCGAUGUGUGCAUGUGCGAACUCUGGCAAUCUGCAAUUACGGUACUGUCUUGAGACAUCUCUUUGACAACAUCAGCACAGUGCACGUAAUCGUAAUUCCAUUAUAAUUGUCAACUAGCUGUGGUUGUCCUAUUAACUUAAUUACUUAAGUGUACAUUUAACCACUGGUCUGCUGAUCUUGAGUCAGGAUGGAACUCUAGGACCCAAAGUCAUUUAUUGCGUAGAUCUAUAGAUACGAAUUAUAAGAGAGCUGCAUAGGGCAUGCUUUCGGGAGCAAAGUGUUCGUACCGAAAUUUGGGUUACGUAAACAUAUAUAUUCAAUUCUUCGUAAAAGUCCAUUUUGCAUAAAAUCGUCAGUCAAAGGGGCCAUGAAACUUAUGGACAUGUGGAUGCUAGAUAUAUACAGAUCAUUUAUGAGCGAAGGCUUGGCUGUCCAUUUGACAUGCCCAAACCCUGAAGUACACGAUUUGCGAGUCUUGAACAUGUGGAUUGCGCCAAUAGUCCACUAUUAAAUGAUGAGCUAAUGUUUCUGGGUCAUGCCAAUGGUGGUCGAUCAGCUGGGUUCCUUAGCGCAGGGAAAACACAUACGUUUUCCAUUGGGAGUCGCGUGGCACCAAUGAGGACACACAAAUGAUUAAUGAGUUCAGACAACUAACUUCAGAAAGGGCCGAGAUGGAGAUCACGAUGAAAAUUAGGAAGAUAGCAGAUUCAAAAAGUAAUGUUGUGAACAAUGCACGGUGAAUGUUCGAAUUAAGUUUGGAACGAGGUCUUGAGGUCUCACAUCGGUAGUUCGUAUUUGGCCCUGCGUAGUCAGCUAGAGGUACAAAAUGUCUAUAAGGAUCUGAUAGUCAACUAUUAGUCCAGAGAGGGCCAAUAGCAGAUGCUCCAAAUGCCCUACCUUGCACCCAUAACGGUCGACUUAACUUUGAUCGAACUCUCGCUCACAUAACAGUGUCGAACAUUUUUCUUUGCGCGUAAGAAGGAACUUUAGGCGAACAUAAAACAGGUGAGUAUUCACAAUAUUAUGGGAGUAAAAUUAGGGUCUAUUGCUCACAUUGUGGGCUCUAACAUUUUAUUCUUCUGCUUGCGAGAAGAUCUUAUGUCGAACGCAAAAGCACAUACCAAUUGGCGAUUGUUACCAUAGGCGUCUGAACAUGUGGUUUUUUCCGUCACAUCUGGAUCCAACUGUAGUGGUGAGCUAAAGCUCUACCUGUGUCGAUACAAUGCAGAGAUAUUUAUUUCCAGAAGUCUGUUGCAGAAUACAUUGUCACAUCAUGUAGGAAGAAUCAAGAGGUUCGCGCACAUGCCUGAGGUCUGAUCACAAUAUUUUAAUCACCUGGACGUAAUGCAGCUGUUAGGGAAAAUGAUAGCAUAGUAAUUCAAUUGGGGACAAAUGCCUAUGGGUUGGGGUCAGAAUCUAAAUUUUUUCGACGAGAGAGUGCAAUUAGAUAAUGUAUCCAUUAUUUGAGCGUUUGGCGACUAUUGUGUAACGGCCAUAGAUUUCCAAUUGGGGCGCUGCCAUGUGUACACCAAUGUAUAGAUCAAUUGUGAGCGAUCCUAUAUAUUAAUAACAAAACGAGAAAGGAUCUCUUGGUGCAAUUGUAUCAUAUGGUGAGACUAAGGCCUCGGCACAACGGAGGUCAAUAGAGCAUCUUAAUCUGCCGAGUCUUGAGCAUGUGUCUAAUUCUGACUAUAGAAUUCUAUUUGGAGGUAUAGCCAUGGUCGACAGUUUUAGACGGACAGAUGAAAUCUAAUAGCCAAUAGUCUCAUAUCGGCAAAUGGGUCGUACACUCAAAAUGCGCUCUCUCACAUUGACGCUAGAUCGUAUGAAACCAAAUUUGCUAAUUCGAGUAUCAUCUAUGAUUUCCGGGAAACGAGCAUCUUGGAGAGCAAAUCAAAUGAGCACCGUACACCCACAUCCGUCAUUCACCUGAAGUCUGUCGGAACAUGUUCGAUUUGCAUAGGGCCCAUGCCCAUAGUGACACCACUUGUAAAUACUCAAAGGGGUCGAAGCAGGAUGCGAAUUAUAGGAUGACGGAAGUCCUGUGGCAUGGAUAAACAUUAGGCAGAGGCCUCAUGCCACUAACAGGAUGAGCCAUUGCUAUUAAGCAGCCAGGAAUCACUAGUUGGAAACAGUAGAGAAAAAGAACUAAGGACUAAGUGGCAAUAUAAGACAGGUGUAUUUAGGAGGAAUAACAAAUGUGAGUACCCAACAAAUCAGAGUUUGUAGAGAACAUCAAAGGCUUUGGCAGCCUAACCCAUAUCCCGAGGCCAUGUAAUUAGCGUAAGUGUUGGGCGGAACCACAAUUAACCAUCGACAUGCCAAAUGAGCCUUAACACUCUUUAUCUAUCUCAUCGUAUCGCCUCAUGGCGAUGUUUCGCACAAUUGCGAGCUAUUUCCACAUUAUUUUUCACCCCCGAGAGUAGGAUCAUGUCCUACUCUUGACCAUGAUGUCAUUGGCCUAUCCCAACACACUUAGGACGAGUGUGCCAUGGGGUCGGAACCAGGUAUUCCCUGCUGAAGUUUCAAUGUAAUGAGGACAUCUAGUAUACUUACAUUAUGUGAGCGCUAAUGCCAUGGUGCUCGAUAUAAUUCAAUAUACUGCGAGAAGAUCUUGUUGAGGUAAGAUUGUUGCGGAGAGCACCACCAAUGAGCGACACCAAUGUAUCACAUUUCCAGUGUCGACAUUUGACCAUGACCAAUCAUAGUGUCGACAUUUGACUUUCACUUGCAUCGAGGCAUUGGUCCACUGCCAAUCUAACAUUGAGCAAUCUCUGAUCCUAAAUCAAAGAUUUUCCAAUUCACCUACUUCACGAGAAGAUGCGUUCGUCUUGGAUUCCGUUAUCUUUAAGGUAUAUAUGGCACUGUGAGACUUGGCUAGUGCAAAACAACAAUUGCUUUCUAUGUAAUGUAGAGUACCGAACAUACAUUUUUAUCAUAAAACAGUAGAAAAUAUCAUAGGCCGAACACCCCAUUCUAAUCAAUCAUAGGGGACUCUGGGAUCCCUCUUUAAGUAAAGCACUGUAAUUCAUAUAACCUAGCUUUUUAUCAUAACGAAAAUUAUAACCUUAAUUCUUAACAAUAAAAAAAGAUAAGUAAAUUUAAGUGUAGAGACACAUGAUAUGGCAAGUGUUCGGAUUUCACGAUUCAACAAUAUGUGAUUGCUUUGAAAUAUUGACACUUCAACAUCUAAUUUAGUCUAUUAGGUAGGUUUUUCUCCACGUGCUGGAGAAAGUAAGGCAACUUGUUGCUGUUAUAAGGACAGCAUCAUGAUGGUUCAGUGACUUUCUAUCCCACAACCACAAAACGAAGGUGCACAACUAACCCUUUAGGAUGGUGUUUUUUUUUUUUUUUUGAACUUGAUCAAUGCUUGGCAUUUAAGGGAUGAGGAGGGAGCUACUCCUAAUUCACUUAAUAGCUUAUUUAUAAAAUUUUGUGUUUAUAAUUGGAACUGUUCAUAUUAUUAUUAUUUUUUUUUGUAAAGAUUAUCUAUAUUAAAAAUCAAUUAAAACAAAUGGUGUUUAGUCAAUCAAUUGUACCAAAUAUAUAUACGGUUUUUAAUACUUUUACCGAAUCUGUACAUUUUUUUUAACAGUUCGUUGACUAAAUAGUCUCAUUUAUUUAUUUUGCAGAAAUGUUAUAUACAAAAUGCUUCAUAAAUCAGUCACGUAAUGAAUUGAUGGGGAUGAACUUUUCUUUUUCACGAUUCUACGCUUUCCAAAAAAAAAAAAAUCUAAAAUCAUUAAGGAGAAAAAUAUGCCUCUGCACAAAUGAACAAAAAGUGGAGGAUGUGAGUCAUUUCUUUUUUAGAUCUUUGAAUGAGGCGAUCAAGAAGUCCCCCCUUUGGACUGGAUAAAAUGUCCUUUUAAUUUGUUCACAUGACUACACGAUUAGCUUGAAAUAAUGCAACUUUAGAAUCUCGUCCCAGACCCACAAAAUGAAACUGCCUAGUAUGUCCCUUUCAAGAUAGUUUGAUGGCACAAUGCUCUCCUUUCGUACUAUCAUGUUUUAACUCUUCUCAACAACCUCAAAAAAAACUUGCCCAGCUGACCCUUGUAAAGUUUUUAAGAUAGUUAGAUGCUCUCCCUUUGGAGGUGUAUAGCUAGAGGGGAUAACUAUUGAAAGUAGGUUUAACAUUGCUAAUCAUUGAGGGGCCUAAUGAGGAGAGAUAGGACAGUUGGAAAGGAGGGGAGGACACCAGAGUACAAGGGGGCAUGUGAACUCUUUGGGGUCCCUAUCCUAGCCAGAUUAUAAUUUCCAGGAUUUAAUGAAUUUAUACGAUGAAUCACGCAUGCAGAUGCCAAUAUAUUUCUUCCAGAUAUUCGACAAGUUACUAAGACCAUCUUCAAUCCUUGAUCUAAAACUUAAAAUUUUUAGCUCAGAAAAUUUAUAUUUUAAUCCAGAAACGGCUUUUUUACUUCAACAUUUCUGGUCUAAAAUUUUAAUUUCAGAUUAUUAAAGAAUGAAUUUUAGCUAAUUUUUUUUAAAUUAACUUUUUAAAAAAAAAUUAUGUAGAAUAUUCUAAAUUAAUUUUAUGAACAUUUUAACCUAAAAAUAUUCAAAUUCCGAUAAAUAUUUAAAUAAUUUUUUUUAAUUAUUUUAGCCUUUGGAUUUAAAUUUGGCCCGUUAGAUCUACUUUUUACAGUUAGAUUUGAUAUAUUUGAUCUCAGCCGUUAGAUUCAAUAAAUAUAAAAAAAAAUUUGAAUGUAGGCCGUUGGUUGAUCCAACGGCCUAUUUAUCUCAACCGUUGGAUUAAAAAGAGCCGUUGGCUCAUUGGCACAAGUGGCCAACAUGCCCACGUGGGUGGGGCCAUGCCGGUCUCAGCUUUGGCACGUCACUCGCAUGCGCGCGUCUCCUGGGGCAUUUGGCGCUCAAGUGUCGAAUUUCACUUGCGCUGGUGGGGCCCACAUCAUUUUCUAGGCUAAAUCUAGGCCGAUUUCUAGCUUUUUUUUAGGUUUUGAGUUUUAGAUCCAAAUUAAAACUUGAAUGGAUUAGAGGAGAAUAAAAAGGAAAUUAUAGGUUUUAGUUCAUAUAUUGGAGUUGGCCUAACUGAGAUAUGAGAUAAAAGCAAAUAAAUAUCUUCCUUUGAGGUAUUCAAGUUACUGGUCCAGUAGUUCAGCAAAUAUCUACACUUCAAUUAUUGUGGAUUUAAUGGUAGUGCUGUGAGGUCAGCUAGCUGUGACAUUUUGCAGUAAAUUUUCUUACCUAACUAAAUGGAAAUGAUUAAAACACUUGCACAAAUUCCAUGGUCAGUCAAUGCAGUAACUUUGUUUUCACGGGUAAACCUAUUCUAUGAUACAAAUGUCUAUGUCGGACUUGGCUGUUGAAAAAUCAAUGGCUCCUAAAAAUCAGCAGCAAAGUUCUUUCCGUCUAUGUCUAUGUUCGUUUGUGAAGUUUUUUUAAAUUAUUGUAUUUUUUUGCACGAAACAUCUCAAAUGUUUUUGGAAUCUAAAAACUUUUUCAGUUAUUCAAAAACACUUUCCAGACAAGCCGAAUAUAAGUUAUAAUAACAUGAGAGUUGAACACAAAAUUAUAUACAUAAAGAAAGAUAUGAAGACCGAGAUAUAUCACUGGUUACAUGAUAGAAUAUCUUCUUAGGGUGUGUGGAUCAUUUUACUUUUUACACAUCCUUGUUAAUUUCUAUCUCUUGUUACUUCUUGGAUUCGAGCUGUGAUUCCAAAUAACUCAACAGACAUUGUUGUGACCUGUCACCUAUUGAAAAUCCUAUUAACAUAUCUUCAUGUUUGAUCCUUUUUGUCUUUUAUAGUAGGUCACGUUACCCUAGUUACUUUGUAACGAGCAUGUUGUUGUGACGAUAGCGUAAGUUAAUUACAUGUUAAAUGUGAAAGUACAAUCAAGCUGGAAUGGAGAUAUAACUAAGACGUUAUAACCAGGGCCGACCUUGAAUAUUGAGGGGCCCUGUGCAAAACUUAGAUGGAGGCCCUUCAUUUUUUUUAAUGUUAUAUUUCAUUAUUAUUUUUUUUUCAAUUUUUUCAUCUAUAAAACUAAAAUAUUAUAAGUUACUGCAACAAAAAUACGUUGUUUGAUCAGCCAUGUGUUUUUCCUUACCUUCAAAGGUUCUGAGUUUGAUAAACGUUGGAUGCCUUUUUGUUAUCUCCUGUUUACAAAUUUGCAAAAACUUAAAAUAUAACAAAACAAUUCAUUAUUAUUUUUUUUUCAAUUUUUUCAUCUAUAAAACUAAAAUAUUGGAUGCCUUUUUGUUAUCUCUUGUUUACAAAUUUGCAAAAACUUAAAAUAUAACAAAACAAUUCAUUAUUAUUAUUUUUUCAAUUUUUUCAUCUAUAAAACUAAAAUAUUAUAAGUUACUGCAACAAAAAUACGUUGUUUGAUCAGCCAUGUGUUUUUCCUUACCUUCAAAGGUUCUGAGUUUGAUAAACGUUGGAUGCCUUUUUGUUAUCUCCUGUUUACAAAUUUGCAAAAACUUAAAAUAUAACAAAACAAUAUCAUUGGGAUUCGAACCCAGCACAUGGGCUAUAAGAAAGAAGAGCUAAACCGCUUGUGCUAGAACCACAGGUAAUAUUAUCUUUUGCAUUUAAUCUAUUUUAUAUGCAUUUGUAUACAUGUAAUCAAAAUUUAGGGACCCUUCCGAAUCGGGGGCCCUGUGCAGUGGCACCUGUUGCACACCCUCAGGGCCGGCUCUGGUUAUAAUUGGUGAUAUGUAAAUGUGAUGAUAGUAUCAAAAUUUUUUCAGAAGGCUAACUUAUUCAAAUUAGAUAUUAUUGUGACGAUAUUUUAAAUCGAUAUACAUGGGCAAAUUCAUAUAGAGACUCGGGUGGCCCCAGGACCCUUCAGAGGUUAGAGAAAUAGUUGCAGUAGGUCCUUCAAGGACCCUUCGAAUGCCUGGUACGAGACCCUUUUGUGCUCACCUAAUAUCAAUGAAAUGUUGUUCACAUCUAAUAGCACUUGGCAUGAGGUCUUGAGAGGACUCAAUUGGGUCGAUCAAUAGAGGACAAAAUACACACCACGUGCUUGACAAAAUGUCCAACUGAAAAGAAUUUGUGCGUUGCAAUCAUACGUAUUUGUGAUAAUUUUCUAAGUCAAUCACACAAAAUUAAAUUUAACUUGCAUACUUCUAACGAGUUGCCAUUGUAGUCAUUUUUAAAUUCAAUCAUGCAUGGUUAAGUUCAGCUUACCUACACUGAGCAUGUUACUAAAACAGUUAAUCCAGCCAGUAACAUGUGAAAAAAUUAAAACACUGUAAACUAAUGGACUUGAGCCAUAUGCUUAGCGGUGGUUGUAAAUCUCUCCUCGACAUGUACAAGAGAGAGAGGAGAGAGAGAGGAGAGAGAGAAAGAAACUGACCCAGAGAACCAAAACCAAGCAAAACCCCAAAAGGGCACGCUUUUCCAUCUUAUAUAAUCCACUAGCUCUCUCCCACUGUGCCCAUUUCUAUGUGCGGUGGUGGUGUCAUUGUAUGUAAGGGGAGAGAGAGUGAAUGAACAGAGAGAAAAAUUAAAAAUAGAAGAAAAGAAACGGCAAAGGCAUCCCUCUAUCAAAACUCCGUCUCUAUUUGCUUGCACCCUUCGCAGUGAGUGUGGCCUCUCAACUCUGUAAAAAAAAGCCCUGUUCAUACUUUAGGAGUGAGAAAGUUAAAGAGAGAGAGAGAGAGAGAGAGAGAAGUGUCUUUCUGUUUGUGGUAGAGGAGCAGAGCAGAGAGGUAAUAGACAUAUAUAAGAGAGAUGCAGCCCAUGAUGGCAGCCUAUUAUCCUAACAACGUCACUUCUGAUCACAUUCAGCAGGUCCUCCUCCUUCUUCUCCUUCUUCUUUUUCUUCUUCCUCUCCUCUGCUUUUUGCUGGGUUCUUUUUUUCUUCAGCUGCUUUGCUUCUGCAUUUCCAUUUGGUUUUUGGUUUCUCCUGCCACUUUCUGUAUCCACUUCUAUUUAUUUUACAAGAAUUAAACUUACCCUUUUCCUCUGAGCUCUAAUGGAUUUUUGAUAGGCUAAAAUUUUCAUGUUUUUUUUAUUUGUUUUUUGGUUUGUAUAUACUUGUAUGAAUGCUUGUUUCUUCUGCUUUUUAUAUGUUUAUCGAAGCACUUUCUUUUAUCCCCGUUUUUUCAUGAAGAUUAAUAUUUGCUUCAGAACGUUCAUGGGCUUUUGUUGUUUGAUUUUCCUACACAUUACAAUUCAUAAUCUCCUCAAGCUAGUUUUCUGUUACCAUAUUUCUGUUCUGUUACGUUUGUGAUGUUUAAAUGGGUGUUGAGAAUAAAAGGUGCUUGCAGCUUAGUUGGUUAAGAGCAUUCCCGAGGUCCCGGGUUCGACUUCCCCUCCCAUUCUUGCUUCUUUUAUGUUGGUUAUCUUGUUUUGCUCUUAUGUUAUUUAAAUUGGACCGGAUCUCUUUCACCAAAGUCACUGGAUCAAGUGAUCUGGGCCUUUCAAAUUUCAUCUAACGGCCAAAAAUUAUGUUGGAAGAGAAUCGUAUAUUGUUUCUUCCAUGUUCUAUCUGGUGGAAAUAGUCUUUUAUGUUGGUUAUCUUGUUUUGCUCUUAUGUUAUUUAAAUUGGACCGGAUCUCUUUCACCAAAGUCACUGGAUCAAGUGAUCUGGGCCUUUCAAAUUUCAUCUAACGGCCAAAAAUUAUGUUGGAAGAGAAUCGUAUAUUGUUUCUUCCAUGUUCUAUCUGGUGGAAAUAGUAAUAGCUCACAUCAUCGAGCAUUUUUGUAUGCUUAAUCGAUAUCAUGAGUUUAUUUAGGGGCCUUCUGGCUGCAAUCUGAGUGAAAGAAUGGUGAUUUGGUUCUAUUUUGAUUAGUUGUGACUAGUGAACGAAUAUUUUGUUCUUUCAUUUGCGAGUCGGUAUCUCGAAAAAUCUAUGAUAGCAUCCCCAGUAGUAUGAACCUUAUAGCUUUAUUCUUACUGAUUGCAUUUAUAUUAUGUGAAUCUGUUUUGGCAGAAAUUCCACGGUGCUCCGAAUUAUAGGAUACUUUGAACUUUUUAACCAUUAGAUCUCGGUUUUUGUUUUAUUUUUAAACAAAAAUCUAAUUACUGAGCCACCAACUUUGUAGGGCAUAAGUUGAAGAUUUUGAUAAUUCCUUUACAUCGUUCUCCUUUUGAUGGUUUCUUGCUGCCAUUGUGGAAUUGGUUGGUUUCCGGUAGUUUUUCUGUUUCAAAAAUUUUAAUUGCACAUUUUCUUCCUUGCCAUGCAUACUCACUCAGUAGUUUUGAAUAACAACCUAGAUGCUCGCUCACCACACUCAAAGAAAGGAUUUUGUGAGUUGCAAGGGAUGAGAUAACGGGAACUUUUAUAGCUGAGAUGUUCAUCAGCCUUAUUUGCCAAAUGUGGUAGUGGAUGAUGCCAUCACUUUAUGACAAGGGCUUUUUAACUAAAAAAAUUGAGUCUUGUGAGCUUUAACUCCAUGUUGGUGUUGCAUAGGAUUAUUGACAAAGCUAGAAAGUCGACCUGCACCAUGAUUAGAAGCGGGUUUUGUUAACAAAUUGUAUUUAUUUUUCUCAUGUCUCAUAAUCGAGUUCUCUUUGCUAUUUUUGGUAUUCCUGAGUGCCACAUACAUUUGUUAAUUCUUUUAAGCGAUAUGGCUAUUGCUUAGUGGCUGAUUGAUUUGGCUUUUGCCAAAAUUUCUUUUAUGGGAAAUUGAGAGGCAACUAGAGUUUUUGGGGUAUUAAAUUUGAGAGAAAUGGGUAUGGGAAGAUUGAGAGUGCUUGUAUGUCUCUGAAUUCAUACAUGUUUUGUUUCUGAUCAUGCUUUUUUGUUGUUGCUGCCAUUGUGGAUUGGUUGGUUUCCGUAAGUUUUUCGGUUUCAAAAUUUUUAGUUGCUUUGCACAAGUUGGACCGAAUGAUGAGUACAUACCAUUAUUAUUUAUUAGUGCUAGGAGGAGGGAUUGUUGUGUUAGGUUAGUACAUGAAUUGGUGUAGGGUUGAUUAUGGGCCUGCGGGAUUGUUGCUUGUACUUAUAAUUGUUUUCGGUUGCAUUGUUCAGUGUCCUCGCGCUAACCUUUUGGAAGUGUUGAGUUCAAUUAUUUCCAAGUGGUGGUCAUAUUUGGCAUUAUUGUUUUGGAAAUGGUAGUGGAAUAACUUUCACGUGUUUGAACGAUAAGCUUUUAGGGAAAUAAACAGAUUAUAAUUUGGUAACUUCUUUUACUUGAAUUAAAACUUGGCCUGAGUUGUUAAGUUUCUCCCUGUAGAUACAUGGAUUUUGUGGUUUUCCAAGCUCUUUUUGUUUUGUUCAUAAUAGUUCUACAACUUAUCACUCCUACUGUUUCAUGUCUUGCUGAGGAGGGAGAUGAUAACUAUACCCUUUUUCACGGUGGUUUAGGAAUAUAGUCUAUUACUUGAAAAAUAUGAAUGUUUCUUCUCUUUUAAACGUACUUGUUAAUGUAGGAUGCAAGCAAGGUUUUACACCAAAAUUUUAAACAGUAGUUACAAGGGUAAACUUCCAGUGGGUAAAUUUUAAGGGGGUAAAUUUAGUGUGCAUAGUGGAAAUAAUCGUGGGGCAACUGGUAUAGUUGAUGGGCUUUGCUUGACACACUAUAUGUACACAACUCGCAUUCCACAUGUCACUAGUGGAAUGUUAGACGGUCACCUCGUUUCCUUGCAUAAAGUUGAUGAGAUCAAGUAGAUGGAAUGGUAUGCAUAGACAUGCGAACUCAGAAAUUAUCAUAUUUUAAGUGCUGAUGUCAAAGUAAAUGACGAAAAGGGUUGUUUGUUUCUUGUUGACAACCCAACUAGACGGUUGGUUAAAAUCAUGGGUUAAGUGUAACCCAUGUUUUAAUGCAAGAUACCCCAUCUUCCAUUUCCGAACUUGUUACUGUUAGUGAGGUAAAUUUCAAGACUUAACAUACUUAGGAUAAGGCUUUAUUUGUUGGUGUUGUAUGAUGUUCUGUUGUUGUUGUAUUUUAUGUUGUUUUUGUAUCAUGUUGGGGAUAUCUUGUGCGGUAUGAGGGAUGUACAGCUGCAGACAAAGAGGGAUCAUUUAAAUAUUAAUCUUGACACGAUUUUUUUAGUGUCUUUUGGCGGGCGAUAUAGAGCUAUGCUCUCGCAUAUGCUAGAAGCUACAAGUCAGGAGUCUAAAUUGGAUUCCCAAGCAUUUGCUGUAUAUCGCCCGCCAAAAGACAUUAAAAAAAUCGGGUCAAGAUUGAUAUUUAAAUGAUUUCCUUUUGGUCUACAGCUGGACAUCCCUCAUACCACACAAGAUAUCCCUAACAUGAAACAACAACAUAAGAUACAACAACAACAUAACAUUAUACAACAACAAAAAAGAAAGCCUUAUCCUAAGUAUGUUAAGUAUAGUAGCAAGUUCAGAAAUGGAAGAUGGGGAUAUUUUGCAUUAAAACAUGGGUUACACUUAACCCAUGAUUUUAACCAACCAUCUACUUAGGUUGUCAACACGCGACCCUUUUCGUCCUUUACUUUGACAUCAGCACUUAAAAUAUGAUGACUUCUAAGUUCGCAUAACUGUGUAUACCAUUCUAUCGACUUGAUCUCAUCAACUUCAUGCAAGGAAACGGGGUCACCGUUUAACAUUCCACUAGUGACAUGUGGAAUGCGAGGUGUGUACAUAUAGUGUGUCAAGCUAAGCCCAUCAACUGUACCAAUUGCCUCACGAUUAUUUCCACUAUACAUACUAAGUUUACCCCUGCAGUUACUGUUUAAAAAAUUGGUGUAAAAACUUGCUUGGAUCAUGCAUUAAUAAGGACUUUCACAAGAGAAGAAACAUUAAUAUUUUUCAAGUAAUAGACUACAUUCCUAAACCACCGUGAAAAAAGUGUACAAUUAUCAUCUCCCUCCUCAACAAGAAAUGAAACAAUAGGAGUGAUAAGUUCUAGAACUAUUAACAAAAAGAGCUUGGAAAACCAAAAAAUCCAUGUAUCUACAGGGAGAAAUUUAACAACCUAGGCUAAGUUUUAAUUAAAGUAAAAGAAGUUACCAAAUAUAUUAGGUUUAUUUCCCAAAAGCUUAUCGUUCAAACAUGUGAAAGUAGGGAGAUGGCGAGGAAGAAUUGUGGGGUUUUGAUACGAGAGACGAUGAUUGGCAAUCACUAUAAUCCCAGGUCGUCUUCAUCAUCAUCACCGUAUGGUCCAAACCCUAGCCCCCCAAAUUCAAUGCCAACAAGCAUCUGCCAUUCCUUCCUCCAACGCAUCCGCCUCCUCCUUGGCCUCACUCCCAGCCAGGGUCUCCGCCUCCGGUGCACUCUCGGCCCCCAGGCUCAAGUAAGUACCCCCUCCCACUCGCUCUCUCUCUCUUCCUGUUUUUUAUCAUCUAUCUACCAUUGACUGCCCUACCGGCUGUUUUUACAGAACUUCUGUUUCCGAGUCCCCAAGACAUGAUCAUGUAGAAGGAAUAUAAGAGAGCAAUUAAACAGUUAAAGGUAAACAACUGCAGAUUACUACCUAAUAUUGCAUUGGAUUGAACACAACAUGUAUGAUUUGGACUAGUUAGUUAAUUACAUUAAAAUGAGAAAAACAAUCAUGAAAAAAUGAUCCAUAAUCUGAUCAGAAUUGCUUCCUAAUUCCCACCUGCAAGUGCAUAUUCAGUUCAGUUGGAACUCGGAUAUUCCUCCCUUGUUGGCUGGCUUUCCAAAAGGACCACCUUUGCAUUUAACAUGGACAAAUAACUUUCAAAACCUUGCUUGUUAUUCUAUGCAGCUUCUUAUUUAUUUUGUAGGUGGACGUUUGCCAGCAGUUUUCUACUUUACUACAGCCGCUUGCCCAAACAAUAAGUUGUGAUGCAAUACAAUUUUAUCAGUCAAGUUAUUUCUUGUAAACUGCUCCUCUGCAACUUGUAUUUGGUGUACUAUUCUUUUGCAGCCGUCACGUACUCAAUUUCAAUCGUUCGAAAGAUCAGGGAGCAUUUCCCACAUGUAAAACCAUAUAAGGUUCUGCUUGCUGUUGAGGUAUGGCAUCCUAAUCAUGUCUUCUGCUAACUUGAUCGGAACAUUUGGGAACUAUAUUUUCAUAUUGUAAACUGUUUGUAACCCAUCUUAAGAUUAAGGUGAAAACAACGUGUGGGUUCUAGUUUUUUGAAUCUUAAUAAAUUACUAGACAAGUAUUUAACUUUGUUUUUCACUACCUGGCUAUCUGGCAGUUACUAUAUUGUUUGAAAGUAAAGUUUUUUACUUUUGUUUUUUUUAUAAUCACUUCUUUAUGAAAGCAACAUUUUUUUUUUCAACAGGAUCGUAUUAUAAUGUGAAGCUA
rnacentral:lncRNA from 1 species